AUAAACAAAUGGAGAAUGUAGAUAUUUUUAUGUAGAUAUAGAGAGGCUAGAUAUUUUUUCUAACCUUCCAUUAUGAAUUUAAGAAACAAUGAACCUGAACAUGAUUUACCGGCUUUAUUCACACUUCGGCCAAAACUUAAUACAAAGCUACAUUACCAUCACCAUUUAGUGUUGUGAUUUUCUGUGGUGUUCAUUUCAAUUUGUUUAAAAACCCUGUGAAAAUGUCUUUUGAAAAAAUGCAGGUAAAUAGUCUUGAAAUAUCAAAUGAAGAGGCGCAAAAUCUUAAUAAACUGGAUUUAAAUGAAACAAUUGAACCUAGCGCUUUUAACCUUUUUGCAAAUUAUUAUGUUAGAAAUGUGUCACUCUUAACCAAUGUUGAAUAUUUUCAUGCACGAUUUCAAAAUCCGAAAAAUUUGACCUGCUUCGCCAUAAAAUUGGAAUUUUCUAAUGAAGUUGUGGAGGUAGUUGCUGUCUUGAACGAAAAAAGGAUGCACGAAAUUUGGCAGAAGCUAAAAUGAUUCAAGAGCCAAUACCAGAAUACCAAAUUUUUUCAACGUAAGUAACCUUGGGAUUGUUUCUCAAACGAUUUCUAAAACUUUUCACGCACUUUGAUAGGCUCAUAUUAUUUUCAAUACGAUAGGUUUACCUAAAUUCAGGGGCAUUUGCUUCAUGGUAGCAGUUCUCGUUCAAUUUUUCUGGUCGCAUGACAUCGUCAUCUCUCUGAUGAAUUUCAGAUUUGAAAACGAAUCAUUAAAAGGCCGAUUGCUUUCGGCUUUGAUUAAGCUUUUGUGCAUUUAUACUAAAGCCGCAAGAAAUGAAUUUCUCGAAAUGAUUAACUGCCCAACCAAUAUGCAUUUAAAAUAUGAUCGACCAAUCAUUUCGAAACUAAAACAUAACCCUAGGAGACCUGGAUUCAAAGCCGAAGUUGAACUGGACGCCCAUAUGAUGGCAAUAUUGAAGAUUUUAGCGCAGGAUAAAAGUAUGUCUAUUAAUGAAACUUCUGUUUUUUUACAGGAGGGCAUUGUAUAAGUUUGUUUAAUGAUUUACUAAAUUCGAUUGAAAUGGAGUGCAAUGAACAUUCUGUAUAUAAGCCGUUGAAUCCCAUAUUCUCAAUAAUAUUUGCGUUAAAAAAUGGAAUUGAUCAGAAAAAAGUUAAUUAUAUUGUAAGAAAAAAUUAAAUAUCCAGGAAUUGAUUCACUUCAAAAGUUAAUUAAUACUUCAACUUUAAUAAAAGAUUUCGAUCAUUUUGUCAAUUUACUAAAGAUAUUGACCUUUCACGUUUCUGAUCCUAUGGACGAAUGGUUAAGCGAGGAAGAGAAUCUUAAAAUAAAUCAGCAGCUGUCAGUUGGCUCAUCUAAUGUCGAUUUAGCUGGUCUGGUUAUUGGUUUUCCAGCAUACAAAAAUGCUGAAGGUGUGAUAAUAAAUAGGUACAUCAAAUAGAAGCCGGGUUACACUUUGGCUACAAAUCAUGCAAUUUCAUUGAUAAAAACUGAGGAUGGUUUCGUAGAAAGCAACAACCAUGAAAUUUUAAAGCCAACUAGAGACUACAAUGUAUUACGCCCGCAAAUGAUACUUUUUUAUAGAGUUCUCAAUUAAAAUUUUCCACUCAUUGCUAGUGUCGUGAUUAUGCAAGUUGAUUUCGAUGCUUGAAAUUUCGAUCAAACUAUCUGAAUAGAGCAAUCAGCGUUUACACCUGUCUGUCAGGUCUUGUAUGGUUUACCAAGGCAAUUGUCCAAAUAAUUAUGGAUGAUUUGAAAGUCGUCACAUAUAAGUUCAUAAGCGUUUCUAUGAA